CCUGGGGCAGGCAGCCUCUGUCUGAGAUGGUCCCCACUGACCUCCAAGUGACUGAACCAAGUGACUCAUUUCUGGCAAAUAAAAUACUAAAAAUGUGAUGGAUAUCAUUCUGGGAUUAGGGUACAGAAAGGCUCUGACUUCCUUCCCCAUUAUUCACCAUCUUCUUCUUUUGCUUCUUGCAUUGAGGAAGGCAACUGCUAUGUUGUGAGCUGCUCUAGGAGAGGCCCAUGUGGAAGGAAGUGAGGCAGGCCUCUGGCCAACAGUCCAGGAGGAACUGAAGCCCUCAGUCCAACAGCCUGUGUGGAACUGAAUCCUGCAAACAACUCUGUGUGUAAGCUUGGAAGUGGAUCCAUACUCAGUCAAACCUUGAGAUGGGACCCCAUGCCCUGCUGACACUUGAUUGUGGUCCCAGCUAGGCCACUGCUGAAGUCUUGACUCAGAGAAACUAUGAUAUAGUAAAUGUUGUUUCAAGUUGAUGUGAUGCCUGGAACUCAUGCAGCUAUCUUGCAAUGAUGAGGAUGAGGCUAAGAGAAUAGGAGAGAGCCUCGCUCAAACAGGAUGAAACAUCAUGAUGAAAUGCUGCCUAGAAGAAAGAUGAAAAGAAAAAUAAAACUUUUUGAAGUGCAUACAAUGGGCCAGGCCUUGGGCUUUCACAUGCAUUAUUUCAUGCAGUACCAAAGACAUUGGUGUCAUGAUUACUAUUUUCAUUUGUUGAGAAAACUGAGGUUGAAUAAUUUUCCUUUUAUCAAACUGACUACCAAGUGUCUGUUUAGUAUGAAGGAACAAUUAUGAAAUGCAAGAGUCAAAUUUCCAGAGAGUUUGAUCUGUCU